rnacentral:misc_RNA from 1 species
UCCGGUUCAUCACCGGCGGUCUCCCUAGAGUGCUCGCCAUGACGCGUUAGCAACUAAGGACAAGGGUUGCGCUCGUUACGGGACUUAACCCAACAUCUCACAACACGAGCUGACGACAGCCAUGCAGCACCUGUCUUCUGGUUCCUUUCGGCACUCCCACCUUUCAGCAGGAUUCCAGAGAUGUCAAGAGUAGGUAAGGUUUUUCGCGUUGCAUCGAAUUAAACCACAUGCUCCACCGCUUGUGCGGGCCCCCGUCAAUUCAUUUGAGUUUUAAUCUUGCGACCGUACUUCCCAGGCGGAGAACUUAUCGCGUUAGCUUCGAUACCAAACAGCCAAGCUGCCUGACAUCUAGUCCUCAUCGUUUACGGCGUGGACUAC